AAGUCUGGUGAAACUGAUACGACU
rnacentral:sRNA from 1 species